rnacentral:rRNA from 1 species
AGAGUUUGAUCCUGGCUCAGGAUGAACGCUGGCGGCGUGCCUAAUACAUGCAAGUCGAGCGGCAGCGGGCUCACAGUUUAUUUCUCACCUUCGAGAUAAGGAGUAGCGAUUUCAAAGAAGUCGCGUCCUCAAAUCGAAGGAGUGAAGCUUCCGGACUAGUAUUAUUCAAUGAAUACUAGAACAGAGGUGAGGAAUAAAGUGUGAGCGCCGGCGAGCGGCGGACGGCUGAGUAACGCGUGGGAACGUGCCCCAAAGUGAGGGAUAAGCACCGGAAACGGUGUCUAAUACCGCAUAUGAUCUUCGGAUUAAAGCUUUAUGCGCUUUGGGAGCGGCCUGCGUCCGAUUAGAUAGUUGGUGAGGUAAAGGCUCACCAAGUCGACGAUCGGUAACUGGUUUGAGAGGAUGAUCAGUCAGACUGGAACUGAGACACGGUCCAGACUCCUACGGGAGGCAGCAGUAAGGAAUCUUCCACAAUGGGGGCAACCCUGAUGGAGCAACGCCGCGUGCAGGAUGAAGGCUUUCGGGUCGUAAACUGCUUUUAUGAGUGAAGAAUAUGACGGUAACUCAUGAAUAAGGAUCGGCUAACUACGUGCCAGCAGCCGCGGUCAUACGUAGGAUCCAAGCGUUAUCCGGAGUGACUGGGCGUAAAGAGUUGCGUAGGUGGCUAGUAAAGCGAAUAGUGAAAUCUGGUGGCUCAACCAUCAACACAUUAUUCGAACUCACUAGCUCGAGAACAGCAGAGGUAACUGGAAUUUCUGAAGUAGGGGUAAUAUCCGUAGAUAUCAGAAGGAACACCAAUGGCGUAGGCAGGUUACUGGGCUGUUUCUGACACUGAGGCACGAAAGCGUGGGGAGCGAACCGGAUUAGAUACCCGGGUAGUCCACGCCGUAAACGAUGGAUACUAGCUGUUGGAGGUAUCGACCCCUUCAGUAGCGAAGCUAACGCGUUAAGUAUCCCGCCUGUGGAGUACGGUCGCAAGACUAAAACAUAAAGGAAUUGACGGGGACCCGCACAAGCGGUGGAUCAUGUUCUUUAAUUCGAUGCUAAACGAAGAACCUUACCAGGGCUUGACAUCCCGAGAAUUACUCCGAAAGGAGUGAGUGCUUUAUUGAAUUCGGUGACAGAUGAUGCAUGGCCGUCGUCAGCUCGUGUCGUGAGAUGUUUGGUUAAGUCCAUCA